rnacentral:rRNA from 1 species
AGAGUUUGAUCAUGGCUCAGGACGAACGCUGGCGGCGUGCUUAAUACAUGCAAGUCGAGCGAGGCCUUGGAAUUGGAGUCCUUCGGGGUGAAGAGUCCUUGGCCUAGCGGCGGACGGGUGAGUAACGCGUGGGCAACCUACCCCAAAGUCCGGGAUAACAGUGGGAAACCGCUGCUAAUACCGGAUGGCUUUACCUGAGGGCAUCCUUGGGUAAAGAAAGGUUACGCUUUGGGAUGGGCCCGCGUCCCAUUAGCUAGUUGGUGAGGUAACGGCUCACCAAGGCGACGAUGGGUAGCCGGCCUGAGAGGGUGAACGGCCACACUGGGACUGAGACACGGCCCAGACUCCUACGGGAGGCAGCAGUAGGGAAUAUUGCGCAAUGGGCGGAAGCCUGACGCAGCGACGCCGCGUGAGCGAAGAAGGCCUUCGGGUCGUAAAGCUCUGUCCUUGGGGAAGAAGGCGAAAGCUUGACGGUACCCAAGAAGAAAGCCCCGGCUAACUACGUGCCAGCAGCCGCGGUAAUACGUAGGGGGCGAGCGUUGUCCGGAAUUACUGGGCGUAAAGGGUGCGUAGGCGGCCUUUUAAGUCAGAUGUGAAAGGCUGCGGCUUAACCGCAGGACUGCAUUUGAAACUGGAAGGCUUGAGUGUCGGAGAGGGUAGUGGAAUUCCCAGUGUAGCGGUGAAAUGCGUAGAUAUUGGGAGGAACACCAGUGGCGAAGGCGACUACCUGGACGAUAACUGACGCUGAGGCACGAAAGCUAGGGGAGCAAACAGGAUUAGAUACCCUGGUAGUCCUAGCCGUAAACGAUGGGUACUAGGUGUAGGUGGUUUCGAUACCAUCUGUGCCGCAGUUAACGCAAUAAGUACCCCGCCUGGGGAGUACGGUCGCAAGACUGAAACUCAAAUGAAUUGACGG